CGUGAGCUGAUUGACACUGCGUGAGCGGGGAAUUAUGUGAAGCAGCUUUGCUUUGUCGUUUCAUGCAUUUAAUAGGUUUACGGCGGUGGACAGAGUUUGUAAAAAAUGAAGACAAGGAGUAACAAGUACCUGCAAAAAUCAUCCAUCAGCCGGAUAUGUGCUGUCGGAGGGUUUUUCAUUAGCAUUCCCGUCUUUCUAACUGGUAUGAUAUUGUAUACAUUCAUCCAGUUUCAUUCGACGCCGGUGUCACGUAAAAUGAAUACUUGGGUUGCGAG